AGCCGAAUGGUGUAGUGGUAGCACGACUGACUCUGGAUCAGUUCGCCAGGGUUCGAAUCCUUGUUCGGCUGCCA
rnacentral:tRNA from 2 species